GGAAAUCGACACCCCUGCGGAUGGGCUACGUGCUGGUGAUCUCUCUUCCCGUGAUCCUCCUCGUGGCCAUUCUUGCCUUGGCCUGCUACCUAUUGGGCCGGGCCCGUGGACGGAGCGAGGCGAGUCGGCCCACUCAAAUAUAUGGGCCCCCGGCGCCUCCACCACAGGUCUUCUAUCCGCCCCCUCCUCUGGCCCAGGCCCAUUCCAAAUCCUGACUCCCCGGCGUCAACGGGGGUUUGCUAUGAAGUGGGCUCUUACUGGGCCCCUCUAUAUUUCUAGAUACAGUCGUGAUUAUCCUCGAUGUACCAUGUGACGUAUUUAUGCCUCGAUUAAAUAAAUAAAAGUUUUCGGUGGUCUCAUUCACUCCACAUCCCCC
rnacentral:lncRNA from 1 species